rnacentral:rRNA from 1 species
GUGGGGAAUAUUGCACAAUGGGGGAAACCCUGAUGCAGCGACGCCGCGUGAGUGAAGAAGUAUUUCGGUAUGUAAAGCCCUAUCGGCAGGGAAGAAAUUGACGGUACCUGACUAAGAAGCCCCGGCUAACUACGUGCCAGCAGCCGCGGUAAUACGUAGGGGGCGAGCGUUAUCCGGAUUCACUGGGUGUAAAGGGAGCGUAGACGGCCAUGCAAGCCAGGGGUGAAAGCCCGGGGCCCAACCCCGGGACUGCCCUUGGAACUGUCAGGCUAGAGUGCGGGAGGGGCAGGCGGAAUUCCUGGUGUAGCGGUGAAAUGCGUAGAUAUCAGGAGGAACACCGGCGGCGAAGGCGGCCUGCUGGACCGCGACUGACGUUGAGGCUCGAAAGCGUGGGGAGCGAACAGGA